rnacentral:rRNA from 1 species
AUUGAACGCUGGCGGCAGGCCUAACACAUGCAAGUCGAGCGGAUGAAGGGAGCUUGCUCCUGGAUUCAGCGGCGGACGGGUGAGUAAUGCCUAGGAAUCUGCCUGGUAGUGGGGGAUAACGUCCGGAAACGGGCGCUAAUACCGCAUACGUCCUGAGGGAGAAAGUGGGGGAUCUUCGGACCUCACGCUAUCAGAUGAGCCUAGGUCGGAUUAGUUAGUUGGUGGGGUAAAGGCCUACCAAGGCGACGAUCCGUAACUGGUCUGAGAGGAUGAUCAGUCACACUGGAACUGAGACACGGUCCAGACUCCUACGGGAGGCAGCAGUGGGGAAUAUUGGACAAUGGGCGAAAGCCUGAUCCAGCCAUGCCGCGUGUGUGAAGAAGGUCUUCGGAUUGUAAAGCACUUUAAGUUGGGAGGAAGAGCAGUAAGUUAAUACCUUGCUGUUUUGACGUUACCAACAGAAUAAGCACCGGCUAACUUCGUG